rnacentral:rRNA from 1 species
AACGAACGCUGGCGGCAUGCCUAACACAUGCAAGUCGAACGAGACCUUCGGGUCUAGUGGCGCACGGGUGCGUAACGCGUGGGAAUCUGCCCUUGGGUUCGGGAUAACAGUUGGAAACGACUGCUAAUACCGAAUGAUGUCUUCGGACCAAAGAUUUAUCGCCCAGGGAUGAGCCCGCGUAAGAUUAGCUAGUUGGUGGGGUAAAGGCCUACCAAGGCAACGAUCUUUAGCUGGUCUGAGAGGAUGAUCAGCCACACUGGGACUGAGACACGGCCCAGACUCCUACGGGAGGCAGCAGUGGGAAUAUUGCGCAAUGGGCGGAAGCCUGACGCAGCGACGCCGCGUGGGGGAUGACGGCCUU